UACAUAGGGUGCAAGCGUUGUCCGGAAUUAUUGGGUGUAAAGGGUGCGUAGAUGGGGAAGCAAGUUGGUUUUGAAAUCCCUCGGCUCAACUGAGGAACUGGAACCAAAACUACUUUUCUUGAGUGCUGGAGGGGAAAGAGGAAUUCCUAGUGUAGCGGUGAAAUGCGUAGAUAUUAGGAGGAACACCGGUGGCGAAGGCGUCUUUCUGGACAGUAACUGACAUUGAGGCACGAAAGUGUGGGGAGCAAAC
rnacentral:rRNA from 1 species